rnacentral:rRNA from 1 species
UACAGAGGGGGCAAGCGUUGUUCGGAAUUACUGGGCUUAAAGGGUGCGUAGGCGGUGCGGAAAGUUGGGUGUGAAAGCCCUCGGCUCAACCGAGGAAUUGCGCCCAAAACUGCCGCACUAGAGGAAGACAGAGGUACGCGGAACUUAGGGUGGAGCGGUGAAAUGCGUUGAUAUCCUAAGGAACACCGGUGGCGAAAGCGGCGUACUGGGUCUUAUCUGACGCUGAGGCACGAAAGCUAGGGGAGCGAACGGG